rnacentral:rRNA from 1 species
AUACGUAGGUGACAAGCGUUAUCCGGAUUUACUGGGCGUAAAGGGCGUGUAGGCGGUCUUGCAAGUCAGAAGUGAAAUUCCUGAGCUCAACUCGGGCGCUGCUUCUGAAACUGCAGGACUUGAGUGCUGGAGGGGAUAGCGGAAUUCCUAGUGGAGCGGUAAGAUGCGCAGAUAUUAGGAAGAACACCGGUGGCGAAGGCGGCUAUCUGGACAGUAACUGACGCUGAGGCGCGAAAGCGUGGGGAGCAAACAGGAUUAGAUACCCUAGUAGUCCACGCCGUAAACGAUGAAUACUAGGUGUAGGGGGUAUCGACUCCCUCUGUGCCGCAGUUAACACAAUAAGUAUUCCGCCUGGGGAGUACGGCCGCAAGGUUGAAACUCAAAGGAAUUGACGGGG